CGCCUUUCCGCUCCCUACAAGAAGGCCACCCCGGCGGCCUCCCCGGCUGCGCACAGCACACACAUCGGGCCGGGGGAUUUCGAAUCCACCUCAGAUUGCGCUUGCUCCCUCUCCCGCGGCGCGCGUCCCACCCCCGUCUCUCUCCGCGCUGGUGAGCCCCCGCGGGCGACGUGUGUCCCGCGGGGGUUCCUUGCCUUCGCCGGCCAUCUGUUCGCCUCGCAAGGCUCCCUCCUGCCAAGCGUCCUCGCGUCGUCCCGGGAGCGCCUCCGCUCGCCAGGCGGCCGAGCGCCGCGGCGUCCAGCCCAGAUCCGCGCGCGCCGAGCUAAUCGCCGCGCCGCGUCCUCGACUCCCAGCUCUAAUAGCUCACCGUACCCGCAUACCGUGCUCGGCGAUAGCUGCCUUCUCCCUUCCCUGAUUCCCUCCUCCUGUAUGUAGCUUGUGCCUUGUAGCCCCUCACUCCCGAAAUAGCAGCUCAGAAUGGCUCCGCUCGCCUUUCGCGUCUCUCGAGCCGCAGCGGCGCGCCGUCGUCGUCUCAGAUUAAUGCAAGCGGCGGUGACAAGCUAGAGGCAGCAACUGCAUAUCUUGCAAGAAAAUUGGUUUUCAGACCAUACCUAUGAUUUUCUUGCAAGUUGUGCAGUUGUUGUCUCAAGCUUGCUGCCUCCCUUUGCCAAAACUAUCAAGAAAGAACAGGUUAUUCUAUUGAUGAACACAUAGGUUAAAAUUAAAUGAAUAAACAUGUGUCUGUAACAAGCAGGACGUUAAUUUAUGAAAUCUUGUUGGAUGAUGUAGCACUUCGCAGCAUUAUACUUAAUAUUGCAGAUAUUAGGUUCAAAACUUGGUUGUCCAUUUUAUAGCAUGAAGUAGUAUUUAUUUUAUUAUCAGGAAAUGAAAAGACCGGUUCUUCAUAUUGGCAAUGUGGAGGUUAUCUUAAUGGUUUUUUUAGCUUCGGGGUCAUCAUGCAGUAUGCUAAGGUGGCGCUUAGUGAGCUAGCAAACUAUGUAUUUUGGCUGACACUGUUGCCACUGUGCAAUGGCAAGUAAACUAUAUGAAGAAACAAGGUGAGUGAAACUUCUGAUAUGAAUAUGUCAAAAUGAAUGAAAAUUCUGAUAUAAAGAAGAACAUGUCAGAAUAAAAAUGAUUUCUUGUGAUUUUGUGAUUUGAAGGGUGCACCGUUUUCUGCCAGUGUUGAUCCUUCUGUAGUUAAUGUUCAGAGUGCUCAAUGUCUACACUGCGCUUUAUUCUGCUUUCUUUGGUUUGUAAGGUCGGAGGAGCCGAGGAGGUAUGGGAACAAAUGGAAGUUCCAGUUGUAUUUGAACCGCCCUGCAUAUCUAUAGGGCAGUUUCUGGUGUGAACUAAUGGAGACUGGAGUUAUGAGAUGAUCCAUGACAGUACUAGAAAUUAUACAUUUCGGUGACUUGCUUAACCAAACUCAAGUAGCAAAUAAGCCAUUUGCAGAUUGCUGAUUAAGGCAUCCGUUGGAUUUGGUGUUGGAAGACGAGAAAAUUCCAACUAAUAUGCAGAAUUUACUUGGUCUGUGAAGCAGGCUUUUCUACUUUAGCAACUUGUAAAUUUUGCUAUGAGAAAUAUUUGAAAGAAAAGGCAUAAUUUUGAGAUGUCUUCCUCGUUUUGUGCUUCGUUCAUAUCCUCUGUAAAUCUAAAAAUAUUCAUGUUUGAUUGAAAAGACAUGACCAAGUCUGAUUGUAAUUUGUAGAAGUGAAAGAUGCUGAAUGCAGAGACGUUUUGUCACA